rnacentral:lncRNA from 1 species
GACUUCAAGGACGCUGCCGAAGGUCUUAUUAGGAAUUAGGAUUUGUUUUUGAGGUCAUUUGAGUUUUAAAGACUAAGAUCAUCAAAUUUAGGUUUUUGGAUAUGGAUUGGAUGUAAAUUUUGUAUAAUUUGGACUUUUUAUGAAGGAGUUAUUAGCACUCAAAGUUAAGGUAUCAAUUUCAUACCUACUAUCAUUUUUUGGGGCAUAACAUAUGUUUAUCAAAAGCAUCAAAGGAUCAAGGACUAAGAUUCGAAAGAAAACUUCUUUAGUUAUAUUUUUCAUAUAUUUUUUGAUGAAUUUAGAUUUUGGAUGAAGAAGUUAUAGAGAAUAAAAGUCAAUACAUCCAAAUCAAAGGUAGUAAAUAAGUUAUUUUGUUCAUAGUAAUGGUUGGAGCCAUAUCUUAAGUUUUUAGACGAAUUUUGGACUCAAACCUUUUGGAAAAGGUAAAUUAUUGUAUUAAAAAGCUAUAUAUAUAAAUUUUGUAGUAUUUUUGUCUUUAAUUUGUAAGAUAUGAAGAAAAUUAUACAUAGAUAAAUAAAAAUUAGGGCUUGAAGCUAUUGUUAGGAUUAUAGUGAUAUCUUAA